AAGUCGUAACAAGGUCUCCGUUGGUGAACCAGCGGAGGGAUCAUUACAGAGUUGCAAAACUCCCAACCAUUGUGAACCUACCUCACCGUUGCUUCGGCGGAUGGCCCGGGGCAACCCGCGCCGCGCCGGCUCCUCUAGAGAAGCCCGGCAAAUCCGUCAGAAGACCGAAACUCUGAACUAUUUAGGCCUCUCUGAGUAACUUAUACAAUAAGUCAAAACUUUCAACAACGGAUCUCUUGGUUCUG
rnacentral:misc_RNA from 1 species